ensembl:lncRNA
CAACAACAGUGGGGUGGACAACAACAGUGAGGUGGACAACAACAGUGAGGUGGACAACAACAGUGAGGUGGACAACAACAGUGGGGUGGACAACAACAGUGGGGUGGACAUCAACAGUGGGGUGGACAACGACAGUGGGGUGGACAACGACAGUGGGGUGGACAACAGUGGGAUGGACAACAACAGUGGGGUGGACAAUGACAGUGGGGUGGACAACAACAAUGGGGUGGACAACAACAGUGAGGUGGACAACAACAGUGGGGUGGACAACAACAGUGGGGUGGACAUCAACAGUGGGGUGGACAACAACAGUGGGGUGGACAACAACAGUGAGGUGGACAACAGUGGGGUGGACAACAACAGUGGGGUGGACAACAACAGUGGGGUGGACAACAGUGAGGUGGACAACAGUGGUGUGGACAACAGUGGGGUGGACAACAACAGUGG